rnacentral:lncRNA from 1 species
GGUCCUGCAAGGUCAUCUUCAGCUCUGUCCUGAACCAGGAUAUUUUCCUUUGCUUUACUCAUCAUAGACGAAGCAGACAAGGACUGAAAUCUUUUGAAAAUCGAAUAAUCAGGAAAAAGCCAGAUGAAUUGAAGGACAGAACGUGCUUUUCUGAACACACAAAACUUCCCUGAAAUAUCUGCCUAAUUCCUCUGAAACUAGAUGCUGUGAGUUGACACUGCAAGAAAAUGCUGGUUCUGAAAUCUUCUGCAUACCUCUUUGAUCUCUGUUGAUGCAGGAUAGAUAUCAGUGAUUGGAGGCUUUUAUUUUUAAAAGGUAACAAAGGUGAUUACUAAGACUAACUAGUCGUUUCACAAAUGACUACAGGCACCACCUGUACUUCUUUUCUCUC